UACUCACUUGAAUGUAUUAUUCAUUUUCAAAUGAUGGAUCUGUUUGACUUAACAGCUUCAUCCCUGCUAAUCUGUUAUCAGGAACAAGACAGCAACACAAGUUAGAUGCCAUUUCUUUGCUGCGUAAUCAAGACUAUAACCAGUCCUUUCUUUUGCAGCAGACAACCAUCUCAGGUUGCCAGGUGUCAGAGUGAGAAAAAAAAAAACAACUCACUGCACACCUGAAUCUCAUCUGUGAAAAGGAUGAUGAGGAAGUGGCCAUGUAACAGAAACACGUCGUGAAGGAGCCGUACUACCAAAGUUGGCAGACAAUACAGCUCUGGUUCUGCAAAAAGAGACCCUCUAAAAUAUAAAUGAGGAAAUCCACACCUGUUUCCAAGUAACCAAG